GACGAACGCUGGCGGCGUGCCUAAUACAUGCAAGUCGAGCGAAGUUUUUCUGGUGCUUGCCCUAGAAAAACUUAGCGGCGAACGGGUGAGUAACACGUAAAGAACCUGCCUCAUAGACUGGGACAACUAUUGGAAACGGUAGCUAAUACCGGAUAACAGUAUUUCUCGCAUGAGAGAUAUUUAAAAGUUGGUUAUGCUAACACUAUGAGAUGGCUUUGCGGUGCAUUAGCUAGUUGGUGGGGUAAAGGCCCACCAAGGCGACGAUGCAUAGCCGACCUGAGAGGGUGAUCGGCCACACUGGGACUGAGACACGGCCCAGACUCCUACGGGAGGCAGCAGUAGGGAAUCUUCCGCAAUGGGCGAAAGCCUGACGGAGCAACGCCGCGUGAGUGAAGAAGGAUUUCGGUUCGUAAAGCUCUGUUGUUAGGGAAGAAUGGAUAUGUAGUAACUAUACAUGUAAGAGACGGUACCUAACCAGAAAGCCACGGCUAACUACGUG
rnacentral:rRNA from 1 species